rnacentral:sRNA from 1 species
UUUCCGUAGGUGAACCUGCGGAAGGAUCAUUGUCGAAACCUGCGAAGUAGAACGACCCGCGAACUAGUAUAUACAGCAGGCACGGGGGGCGUUUUGUGGCGGGCUUGAUUGCCCCCACUCUCCGGCCCCUUGCCGGGUGCGCUGUUUGAAUAGCGUUCCUCGGCUAAAAACAAACCCCGACGCGAAUCGCGUCAAGGAACUCAAACAAGAGAAGAGAAGCGCGCCCCCCGGUUCUCGUUCGCGAGUGAAGCUUAUGGGGGGGUAGCAGUCACAUCUUUUCACGAACAUAAUGACUCUCGGCAACGGAUAUCUCGGCUCUCGAAAUGCGAUACUUGGUGUGAAUUGCAGAAUCCCGUGAACCAUCGAGUCUUUGAACGCAAGUUGCGCCCGAAGCCAUUAGGCUGAGGGCACGUCUGCCUGGGCGUCUCACAUCGCGUCGCCCCUCGCCCUGUGCCCCAAAAAGGGUUCUUGGGUUGAUGGGGGCGGAUUUUUGGCCCCCCGUGUGCCCUAGUGCGCGGUCGGCCUAAAGAUGAGUCCCUGGCGACGAACGUCACGAUGAGUGGUGGAUUUGAUAACGUUACGUCACGUCGUGCACGUCUCGUCCCAACGGGUUGUUUUGGUAAAUCGACCUUGAAAGCACCAUUUCCACGGAGCCUCGAUUGCGACCCCAGGUCAGGCGGGAUUACCCGCUGAGUUUAA